UACGUAGGGGGCAAGCGUUGUCCGGAAUCAUUGGGCGUAAAGAGCGUGUAGGCGGUCCGGUCAGUCGGUUGUGAAAGUCAAGGGCUCAACCCUUGAAUGCCGGCCGAUACUGCCGGGCUAGAGUCCGGAAGAGGUGAGUGGAAUUCCCGGUGUAGCGGUGAAAUGCGCAGAUAUCGGGAGGAACACCGGUGGCGAAGGCGGUUCUCUGGGCCUUACCUGACGCUGAGGAGCGAAAGCGUGGGGAGCGAACAGG
rnacentral:rRNA from 1 species